AUUCAUCUGAUGAGUUCCAAAUAGGACGAAAUGCGCGUCCUGGAU
rnacentral:hammerhead_ribozyme from 1 species